UACGUAGGUGACAAGCGUUGUCCGGAUUUACUGGGUGUAAAGGGAGCGUAGGUGGCAGGGCAAGUCAGAUGUGAAAACCCGGGGCUCAACCCCGGGAGUGCAUUUGAAACUGUCCGGUUGGAGUGCAGGAGAGGUAAGCGGAACUCCUAGUGUAGCGGUGAAAUGCAUAGAUAUUAGGAGGAACACCAGUGGCGAAGGCGGCUUACUGGACUGUAACUGACACUGAGGCUCGAAAGUGCGGGUAUCGAACA
rnacentral:rRNA from 1 species